GCUCCACUGGCUGCUGGUGGGCCACAACACAAGGUUGUGUUGGUUUUGAGCACACACACACAAAGCAUACACACUUUUUCUCUUUCCAAAUCUUUGCUCCUGUGUCCUUCUGGCAAGCAAAUUCAGCAUUUUUCUGAUCCAAAACUUUUUUCUUUUGGAACUGACCAACAAUCGAGCUUUUGUUUCUAGGUCUUUUCUCCCACUGGACACAAAGUGCACAGAAACACACACACACACACACACACACACACACACACACACACUGCAAACGCAGGAUUUGUACCCUACCCCUCUGUUAGUGAGGAUAUGUACAGGCAGGAUCUCCAAGGCUUCUUUUCAAACCUUCUGGGCUCAAAAGAGACUGGAGAUGCCAGAGAGGUUUUCUCCCCUUCAAGCUUUUCUCUCUCUUGUUUUUCCAUGAAUUCUCUGGGAAGUGAAAUUCUGGGAAGCGCUGAGCAGCAACGCCACACAUGAAUUUGAACCUUCAACUCAUUCGGGCCACAGGUUACGCCAGGGAGAGCAACAAGGCAAGGAUUCACAUAAACCAAGCAUUCAGCAGCUCACCAGAAAAAGGGAGACAAUCCUUUCUUGUGGAGAUCGGCCACCUCAAAGUCACAGCCUCAAAGGAAGAACGGAGGAGGAGGAGGAGGAGGAGGAGGAGGGAGAAGAAGAGAGCACGCCCAGCCCUCCUUUUCUCCAAAAGAAUGAUCGUAAUGGCUUCA